rnacentral:rRNA from 1 species
UGCUACAGCCAUACCAUCCUGAAUGUGCCCGAUCUCAUCUGAUCUCGGAAGCUAAGCAGGGUUGGGCCUAACCAGUACAUGGAUAGGAGGCUGCCUGAGAAUACCAGGUACUGUAGGCU